rnacentral:rRNA from 1 species
GAUGAACGCUGGCGGCGUGCCUAAUACAUGCAAGUCGAGCGAACGGACGAGAAGCUUGCUUCUCUGAUGUUAGCGGCGGACGGGUGAGUAACACGUGGAUAACCUACCUAUAAGACUGGGAUAACUUCGGGAAACCGGAGCUAAUACCGGAUAAUAUUUUGAACCGCAUGGUUCAAAAGUGAAAGACGGUCUUGCUGUCACUUAUAGAUGGAUCCGCGCUGCACUAGCUAGUUGGUAAGGUAACGGCUUACCAAGGCAACGAUGCAUAGCCGACCUGAGAGGGUGAUCGGCCACACUGGAACUGAGACACGGUCCAGACUCCUACGGGAGGCAGCAGUAGGGAAUCUUCCGCAAUGGGCGAAAGCCUGACGGAGCAACGCCGCGUGAGUGAUGAAGGUCUUCGGAUCGUAAAACUCCGUUAUUAGGGAAGAACAUAUGUGUAAGUAACUGUGCACAUCUUGACGGUACCUAAUCAGAAAGCCACGGCUAACUACGUG